CACGGAGUUAGCCGGGGCUUAUUCUCCCGGUACAGUCAUUAUCUUCCCGGGUAAAAGAGCUUUACAACCCUAGGGCCUUCAUCACUCACGCGGCAUUGCUGGAUCAGGCUUGCGCCCAUUGUCCAAUAUUCCCCACUGCUGCCUCCCGUAGGAGUCUGGGCCGUGUCUCAGUCCCAGUGUGGCUGAUCAUCUUCUCAGACCAGCUAUGGAUCGUCGGCUUGGUAGGCCUUUACCCCACCAACUACCUAAUCCAACGCGGGCUCAUCCUCUGGCGAUAAAUCUUUGGACUUUCGUCAUCAUCCGGUAUUAGCAGCCGUUUCCAGCUGUUAUUCCGAACCAAAGGGCAGAUUCCCACGCGUUACGCACCCGUGCGCCACUAAGGCCGAAGCCUUCGUUCGACUUGCAUGUGUUAGGCAUGCCGCCAGCGUUCGUUCUGAGCCAGGAUCAAACUCU
rnacentral:rRNA from 1 species